GCGGGUCUAGCUUAGUUUGGUUAAAGUGUCAAAUUGUGGUUUUGAAGAUCAUGGGUUCGAAUCCCAUGAUCCGCC
rnacentral:tRNA from 1 species